rnacentral:sRNA from 1 species
CAGGUAUGCAGAGCAGAGAUACGGAGGAUUGAUUUCUUUGCGAGAUACAGGCCGGAGAGGUUGAGACCGAAAGCUCCGCAGACGAUGACAAUCAAUCCACCAAACCAAACGUUCCUAUGAGGAAAGAUCUCACGAAGACGUUUGUCAGUGAGAGCCAGUCCCAGACCAACCAUUGUUUCAUCAAUGAUCAGAUAACCUGCUUUGCCUUUACUUUCCAUUGGGGGAAGAGUCGAGUGAGGAAUGAUAUGUGGAACGAUGUAUAUGAAGGGCGGCUAUGCCUGUUGACGCUAAUCGCCGUACAAUCACCAUGCCUCCCAUGUCAGCCUCAUCCAUUAGGCCUAUGGCCGUCUGAUAUAUUGCGUUGAUUGUGGGAGUUUUGCCAGUAUCCGCAGUAUCGUCAAGGUUUAGGAGAAAUGACGGCACACGGUUGUUAGGACCAGCUCACAAGGAAUGCUGGCAGCGUCGUAGGAAUUUGUCGAGGCAUAGAGCUUGCUUCGCAUUGAGAACAGUGUAUUCAAGGAAAAGGAAGAGGAUGGGGUAAUUCAGGGAUAAUUCAGAAGGCGUCUUGAUAAUUCCUUCGAUGCCUUUGCUCAAUAAUGCCACAUCUUCCCGAACCCUUUUUCUUCGACAACUCCUUCCACCUGAAGACUUUUUAGAAGUCCCUUGGGCCUAGUUUGUUUCAAUGAAUCGAUUGGGUGCGGCUAAAUUGCCGAGAGACGCCGUUCAUUGGUUAGAUCGUUCUUGGACAAUCUCGAGGCCUUCAAACCUUCAAACUCUUCUUCUGACAGUUGGGGGACAGCAAGGCUUCUGGGUUUCGAAGGCAUGGAAUCAGCUUUUCCCCCAUUGUUUCGUAGGGUCCUGGCAGCCAAGAGACGGGAGUAGGCAUCUGCCCACGAUUCAUUGUCUAGCCAAACUUCAGUCUGACUGCGGUAGGCCACAUGAAGGAUUUUUGCUCGGAACCAAUCUUUGCCGUUUUCUUCUUCCGGGAGAUCAGCCCCUUGGUUUUCUUCAUGUUUCUGAACUGUGGAGGAAGGCAAAAGAGAUGAAUAUGUUAUGAGGGGAGAAGUCGGGAGUACAGGGGCAGGUCGGAGACGAGGGAAGCUCGGCAGCUCAUGCUCAGUAUGGUCGAGACGCGAGUGCCUUUUUCUCUUCUUGCCUCUGAGCAACAAGGCGUCCAACCGCAAAGCAAGUUACAGCAGCACAAAUAAAGGGUGUCGUUGAUACACAAAUGAAGUCCUCAUAAUACCCAUGUACGUAUCAAUGCUCCUGAUUAAGUAAGCCGCCUACUUUGCCGAGCUGGAGCUACUGUAUCGUGUAUUGUACAUACCUGCGCGUUAUGGCGGUUGAGAGAUUCUUUGAUCAUUUAUGCUUGCAUCCUUU